rnacentral:rRNA from 1 species
GUGGGGAAUUUUCCGCAAUGGGCGAAAGCCUGACGGAGCAAUACCGCGUGAGGGAGGAAGGCUCUUGGGUUGUAAACCUCUUUUCUGAGGGAAGAAAAAAAUGACGGUACCUCAGGAAUCAGCAUCGGCUAACUCCGUGCCAGCAGCCGCGGUAAUACGGAGGAUGCAAGCGUUAUCCGGAAUGAUUGGGCGUAAAGCGUCCGCAGGUGGCAAUUCAAGUCUGCGGUCAAAGGUCGAGGCUUAACCUCGAACAGGCCGUGGAAACUGAACAGCUAGAGUAUGGUAGGGGCAGAGGGAAUUCCCAGUGUAGCGGUGAAAUGCGUAGAGAUUGGGAAGAACACCGGUGGCGAAAGCGCUCUGCUAGGCCAAAACUGACACUGAGGGACGAAAGCUAGGGGAGCGAAUGGGAUUAGAUACCCCAGUAGUCC